AGAGAGUUAGUAUAAUAAUACCAUUGACUUAGAAUCAAUAAAUAAGUAACCCUUACUCUCUAC
rnacentral:tRNA from 1 species